rnacentral:rRNA from 1 species
CCUACGGGAGGCAGCAGUGAGGAAUAUUGGUCAAUGGGCGCGAGCCUGAACCAGCCAAGUCGCGUGAGGGAAGACGGCCCUACGGGUUGUAAACCUCUUUUGCCGGGGAGCAACGGGCGCCACGUGUGGCGCCACUGAGAGUACCCGGAGAAAAAGCAUCGGCUAACUCCGUGCCAGCAGCCGCGGUAAUACGGAGGAUGCGAGCGUUAUCCGGAUUUAUUGGGUUUAAAGGGUGCGUAGGCGGAGCGUUAAGUCAGUGGUCAAAUUGAGGGGCUCAACCCCUUCCCGCCAUUGAAACUGGCGCUCUUGAGUGGAAGAGAAGUAUGCGGAAGGCGUGGUGUAGCGGUGAAAUGCGUAGAUAUACGGAGGAACACCAGUGGCGAAGGCGGCCUGCUGGACUGCAACUGACGUUGAGGCCCGAAAGCGUGGGGAGCAAACAGGAUUAGAUACCCUGGUAGUC